ACAGAAAAAUAGGCAAUGGUAGCGCGCCAGACUUCUAAAUUGGUACAAUUUAUCGUGCCAGACGUGAAUCUGGAGGCUGCGGGUUCGAAUCCCGCGUG